rnacentral:lncRNA from 10 species
CAGCAGGAGGCUUGGGUCCUAGCCUGGCACCUGCCAGACAAGAGAAACUGGGAAAGGAGGCUAAAGGCCAAGGAGGCUGCAGACCCCGAGACCUACCCCGGUCACUGGACACUCACAGAUUUGCAGAUUGAUCGCAGAGUUGAACAACAGAGAAUGUGUGCACAGUGCCAGGCACAGGUGUGGUCAAGAUUCACCUGGGAGAGGAAGUGGGCAGGGGCAGAGGAGUGUGCCCACCUGAGCUGAAAGGCUGCAUGGCAGGUGACCAUUAUCACCAGUGUCGCCAGCCAGGUCACCUCUCUGAAUUUUGUGGUUGCAACCUCCAUGAUUCCCUAGAGCUGUUUUUACCCAGAACUAAUGAAAAAUUCUGCA